rnacentral:rRNA from 1 species
AGCGGUUGAGGAAGCUUGCUUCCUGAUUCAGCGGCGGACGGGUGAGUAAUGCCUAGGAAUCUGCCUGGUAGUGGGGGACAACGUUUCGAAAGGAACGCUAAUACCGCAUACGUCCUACGGGAGAAAGCAGGGGACCUUCGGGCCUUGCGCUAUCAGAUGAGCCUAGGUCGGAUUAGCUAGUUGGUGAGGUAAUGGCUCACCAAGGCGACGAUCCGUAACUGGUCUGAGAGGAUGAUCAGUCACACUGGAACUGAGACACGGUCCAGACUCCUACGGGAGGCAGCAGUGGGGAAUAUUGGACAAUGGGCGAAAGCCUGAUCCAGCCAUGCCGCGUGUGUGAAGAAGGUCUUCGGAUUGUAAAGCACUUUAAGUUGGGAGGAAGGGCAGUCAGCGAAUACCUUGCUGCUUUGACGUUACCGACAGAAUAAGCACCGGCUAACUCUGUGCCAGCAGCCGCGGUAAUACAGAGGGUGCAAGCGUUAAUCGGAAUUACUGGGCGUAAAGCGCGCGUAGGUGGUUUGUUAAGUUGGAUGUGAAAUCCCCGGGCUCAACCUGGGAACUGCAUCCAAAACUGGCAAGCUAGAGUAGGGCAGAGGGUGGUGGAAUUUCCUGUGUAGCGGUGAAAUGCGUAGAUAUAGGAAGGAACACCAGUGGCGAAGGCGACCACC